rnacentral:rRNA from 1 species
UAUGAAUUUUAUUCUAGUUAAAAAAGGUUUAUAUUAGUUAAAUUUUAUAGUAUAGUUAUAUAUUUUCUGUAAUGUAGUUUUUUUUUAUGGAUAUACUAGAAAUGAAUUUUGAAUAAUAAUGAAAGUUAGUUUUGGUGUCUAAUAUAUUUAGCAGAAUAAGUCUCAGUGCCAGCAUUCGCGGUUAAACUGACUUGCUAUGCCUUUUUGAUAAAUUAUUGAAUUUAUAUUAAGUUUUAAUUAUCUGGUUUAAUGGUAUAUAAUUAAUGUGAUACUAAGUAUAAUAAUUUCUGAGUGUAUAGUUUAAACAAGAAUUAGAUACUCUUUUAUACAUAAAAAAAUUUUUAAUUUUCAGUUUUAACUGAAAGAUUUUGACAGCUGAUUAUAUUCUUUUGGGGGAACGUGUUCAAUAAUAGAUGGUCCACUAAGUAGUGUACCUUCUUUAUAGUUGGUGUAUAUCCGGUUUUUAUGGAAUUUAUAAGAAUUUCAUGUAGUUAUAUUUGUUAAUCCAGGUCAAUAUGCUGCUUAUAAGAAGGGUGAUAAUGCGUUACAUUUUAAAUAAUUAUCCGUAAUUGGUUUAGAUUAUAUUUAGGACUCAAUAGUAUUAUAAAAUAAUUGUUUAUGAGAAUUAGGUUUAAUUGGGGUACACAUCGCCCGUCACCUUCGAUAUUUAGUUGAAGUAAGUCGUAACAUGGUAGCCAAUGAGGAAUCAUUGGCUAGAAAAAA